ACUUAAAUUGAAGAGUUUGAUCAUGGCUCAGAUUGAACGCUGGCGGCAGGCCUAACACAUGCAAGUCGAGCGGUAGCACAGAGAGCUUGCUCUCGGGUGACGAGCGGCGGACGGGUGAGUAAUGUCUGGGAAACUGCCUGAUGGAGGGGGAUAACUACUGGAAACGGUAGCUAAUACCGCAUAAUGUCGCAAGACCAAAGUGGGGGACCUUCGGGCCUCAUGCCAUCAGAUGUGCCCAGAU
rnacentral:rRNA from 1 species